UACGUAGGGUGCGAGCGUUGUCCGGAAUUAUUGGGCGUAAAGGGCUCGUAGGCGGUUUGUCGCGUCGGGAGUGAAAUCCACUGGCUUAACUGGUGGCUUGCUUUUCGAUACGGGCAGACUGGAGGCAUGCAGGGGAGAACGGAAUUCCUGGUGUAGCGGUGAAAUGCGCAGAUAUCAGGAGGAACACCGGUGGCGAAGGCGGUUCUCUGGGCAUGUCCUGACGUGAGGAGCGAAAGUGUGGGGGAGCGAACAGG
rnacentral:rRNA from 1 species